rnacentral:rRNA from 1 species
AUUGAACGCUGGCGGCAGGCCUAACACAUGCACGUCGAACGAGUGGCGGACGGGUGUGUAAUGUCUGGAAAACUGUCUGAUGGAGGGGGAUAUCUACUGGAAACGGUAGCUUAUACCGCAUACCAUCAGAUGUGCCCAUAUGGGAUUCGCUAGUUGGUGGGGUAACGGCGCACCAAGGCGACGAUCCCUAGCUGGUCUGAGAGGAUGACCAGCCACACUGGAACUGAGACACGGUCCAGACGCCUACGUGAGGCAGCAGUGGGGAAUAUUGCACAAUGGGCGCAAGCCUGAUGCAGCCAUGCCACGUGUAUGAAGAAGGCCUUCGGGUUGUAAAGUACUUUCAGCGGGGAGGCGUUACCCGCAGAAGAAGCACCGGCUAACUCCGUGCCAGCAGCCGCGGUAAUUC